AUACGUAGGUGGCAAGCGUUAUCCGGAAUUAUUGGGCGUAAAGAGUGAGCAGGCGGUUAAUUAAGUCUGAGGUUAAAGCGUGGGGCUCAACCCCAUAAAGCCUUGGAAACUGAUUGACUAGAGUACGGGAGAAGUGAAGGGAACUCCAUGUGUAGCGGUGAAAUGCGUAGAUAUAUGGAAGAACACCAGUGGCGAAGGCGCUUCACUAGCCCGAAACUGACGCUCAGUCACGAAAGCGUGGGUAGCAAAUAGGAUUAGAUACCCUAGUAGUCCACGCUGUAAACGAUGAAUACUUGUUUUCGGCGAUAUAAUGUCGGAGGCAAAGCGAAAGCGAUAAGUAUUCCACCUGGGGAGUACGCCGGCAACGGUGAAACUCAAAGGAAUUGGCGGGG
rnacentral:rRNA from 1 species